rnacentral:lncRNA from 1 species
ACACACACAGCUGGAGCAUUUCUGGUCUCUCAUGUGUGUGUGUGUUGCCAUCCAGUUUUUCUUUUAUUUUCCUAAUUGAGCCAUCAACUUUGGUUAACUAGUGACUCUGUUAAGCUUUCUUACACAGUAGUUACUUCUAGGGCUAAUUCGGCAACCACUUUCACAAUUUGCUUUAACAAAACGUUGUUAUCAGCAAUUACUCUUACCACAGUCACCAUGGUAUUUUGACCAGCUGAAUCAUUGAAAAGCUGGAUUGUUGCUUGCUUGUGGUCCAAUAAGAAACAGAUGUAUCCUAAGUGAGAAUGUAUUCAUUUACAAAGCAAGCCAUGUUUCAGUCUGCAAAUGCACCACGAGUAAGUGGUAAUCAUUGUCUUCGAGGAAGGAUGUAACAGAAUCUUCUACAACCGAACAAAGUCUUCUCUUCCCAAUGUCCUGGCAUUAAGAAAAGUUUAGU